rnacentral:lncRNA from 1 species
GGGCUUUUGUAGAUGAAUGUAUAGAAGUAGAAAUUUUGAGGGAUGAGGCACAGCUUCUAACAUUGAGGGUGUAGAUCGAAAAAUGUAGUGGAUGUGGUAAUAUCUCGUCUAUGCUAAAUGUACUCAAGUAGAAAUAAGACAAUUAUGGGAAAAAUUAUAUGAUGUAUCUAGGUAUUUUCAAAAACCCUGGAUGGUGGGAG